CGACGAGCGCCUCCGGGC
rnacentral:miRNA from 1 species